GGUGAACGGUUGGAGCAUCAUCACACUAUCCACAAGCUUGUUUUGGUAUAAAUAGUAACCUCAUUUUGGUAUAAUGGCAUGUUUAGGUAACUUAGCCAAAUGAUGAUAUAUAAAUAUUGUUUGUAAUCUAGCUAUUUGAAAUGGCAAGUAAUGAUUAAAUUUUGGGAUAUCUGUUAAGGUAGCCUUAUGGUAUUAUCAUGAGUUAUGUUAUGGUUUGAUUGAGCAAUGCUAAAUGAAUAUAACUAUUAAAGGUAAAAUCAUAAUAAUAUAUGCAAUGAUAUAUCAUAUUAGAUGUUAGAAUUUGCUUGAAAACAAUGCUUGAAUCGGUU
rnacentral:lncRNA from 1 species